rnacentral:rRNA from 1 species
ACGAACGCUGGCGGCGUGCUUAACACAUGCAAGUCGAACGGAAAGGCCCCCUUGUGGGGUACUCGAGUGGCGAACGGGUGAGUAACACGGGAGUAACCUACCCUUGACUUUGGGAUAACUUCAGGAAACUGGGGCUAAUACCGGAUAGGAGCUCCUGCUGCAUGGUGGGGGUUGGAAAGUUUCGGCGGUUGGGGAUGGACUCGCGGCUUAUCAGCUUGUUGGUGGGGUAGUGGCUCACCAAGGCUUUGACGGGCAGCCGGCCUGAGAGGGUGACCGGCCACAUUGGGACUGAGAUACGGCCCAGACUCCUACGGGAGGCAGCAGUGGGGAAUAUUGCACAAUGGGCGGAAGCCUGAUGCAGCAACGCCGCGUGCGGGAUGACGGCCUUCGGGUUGUAAACCGCUUUCGCCUGUGACGAAGCGUGAGUGACGGUAAUGGGUAAAGAAGCACCGGCUAACUACGUG